rnacentral:rRNA from 1 species
GAACGCUUUGGAGGUUUCGGCCCCCAAGGAGUGGCGCACGGGUGAGUAGCGCGUGGGAACCUGCCCUGGAGUGGGGGAUAACCGCGGGAAACUGCGGCUAAUACCGCAUGCGCCCGGGGAGCCUCGAAAGGGGCAACUCGGGGAAAGAUUUAUCGCUCUAGGAGGGGCCCGCGUCGGAUUAGGUAGUUGGUGGGGUAACGGCCUACCAAGCCUGUGAUCCGUAGCUGGUCUGAGAGGAUGAUCAGCCACACUGGGACUGAGACACGGCCCAGACUCCUACGGGAGGCAGCAGUGGGGAAUAUUGGACAAUGGGGGCAACCCUGAUCCAGCAAUGCCGCGUGAGUGAUGAAGGCCUUCGGGUUGUAAAGCUCUUUCGCCCGCGACGAUGAUGACGGUAGCGGGAGAAGAAGCCCCGGCUAACUUCGUG